UGACUUUCUCAUUACACGAUGAGAAUACGUAGGCAAAAUGGUUCAAAUCCUUGACGAACAUAUUUAUUAUUAUUUCUUCUUCUGCCUUAGGGCACCACGCAGAUCUUUCAUCAUCCAUAAUUCAAUACCUUCAAUCAUUCAUCCCCAGUGAUAUACUUUCUCUUUGAGCCAAGUAUACUAUUUCUUUGAGUUUCAUACAUACUAUUGGGCCAAUAACCAAUGUCUGCCUCUCAACC
rnacentral:lncRNA from 1 species